rnacentral:rRNA from 1 species
GAUGAACGCUGGCGGCGUGCUUAACACAUGCAAGUCGAACGAUGAAGCCCAGCUUGCUGGGUGGAUUAGUGGCGAACGGGUGAGUAACACGUGAGUAACCUGCCCUUAACUCUGGGAUAAGCCUGGGAAACUGGGUCUAAUACCGGAUAGGAGCGUCCACCGCAUGGUGGGUGUUGGAAAGAUUUAUCGGUUUUGGAUGGACUCGCGGCCUAUCAGCUUGUUGGUGAGGUAAUGGCUCACCAAGGCGACGACGGGUAGCCGGCCUGAGAGGGUGACCGGCCACACUGGGACUGAGACACGGCCCAGACUCCUACGGGAGGCAACAGUGGGGAAUAUUGCACAAUGGGCGCAAGCCUGAUGCAGCGACGCCGCGUGAGGGAUGACGGCCUUCGGGUUGUAAACCUCUUUCAGUAGGGAAGAAGCGAAAGUGACGGUACCUGCAGAAGAAGCACCGGCUAACUACGU